CAUGUGAUUCUAUUUUGUUGGUUUCUAGAACCACCGUAAUGAUUAAUAGGAAUAGUCGGGGGCAUUAGUAUUCAAAUGUCAGAGGUGAAAUUAUUGGAGUAUUUGAAGACUAACUAUUGCGAAAGCAUUUGCCAAGGAUGUUUUCAUUGAUCAGGGAAUGAAAGUUAGGGGAUCAAAGACGAUCAGAUACUGUCGUAGUCUUAACCAUAAACCAUGCCGACUAGGGAUUGGUCAGUGUUUUUUUGUGACCCGGUCAGCACCUUACGAGAAAUCAAAGUCUUUGGGUUCCGGGGUGAGUAUGGUUGCAAGGCUGAAACUUUAAGGAAUUGACGGAAGGGCACCACCAGGAGUGGAGCCUGCGGCUUAAUUUGACUCAACAUGAGGAAACUCACCAGGUCCAGA
rnacentral:rRNA from 1 species